AUACGGAGGAUGCAAGCGUUAUCCGGAUUUAUUGGGUUUAAAGGGUGCGUAGGCGGAUGAUUAAGCGUGAGGUGAAAUGCCACUGCUCAACAGUGGAACUGCCUCGCGAACUGGUUGUCUUGAAUGCUCCUGCCGUGGGAGGAAUGUGUGGUGUAGCGGUGAGAUGCAUAGAGAUCACACAGAACACCGAUUGCGAAGGCAUCUCACGAAGGGGUGAUUGACGCUGAGGCACGAAAGCGUGGGGAUCAAACAGGAUUAGAUACCAUGGUAGUCCACGCAGUAAACGAUGAUAACUAACCGCUGGGUCGUAGUGAUUCAGUGGCCAAGCGAAAGCGAUAAGUUAUCCACCUGGGGAGUACGACCGCAAGGUUGAAACUCAAAGGAAUUGACGGGG
rnacentral:rRNA from 1 species